rnacentral:rRNA from 1 species
ACCAUGCAGUCGAGCGGAGAGAGGUAGCUUGCUACUGAUCUUAGCGGCGGACGGGUGAGUAAUGCUUAGGAAUCUGCCUAUUAGUGGGGGACAACAUUUCGAAAGGAAUGCUAAUACCGCAUACGUCCUACGGGAGAAAGCAGGGGAUCUUCGGACCUUGCGCUAAUAGAUGAGCCUAAGUCGGAUUAGCUAGUUGGUGGGGUAAAGGCCUACCAAGGCGACGAUCUGUAGCGGGUCUGAGAGGAUGAUCCGCCACACUGGGACUGAGACACGGCCCAGACUCCUACGGGAGGCAGCAGUGGGGAAUAUUGGACAAUGGGCGCAAGCCUGAUCCAGCCAUGCCGCGUGUGUGAAGAAGGCCUUAUGGUUGUAAAGCACUUUAAGCGAGGAGGAGGCUACUUUAGUUAAUACCUAGAGAUAGUGGACGUUACUCGCAGAAUAAGCACCGGCUAACUCUGUGCCAGCAGCCGCGGUAAUACAGAGGGUGCAAGCGUUAAUCGGAUUUACUGGGCGUAAAGCGCGCGUAGGCGGCUAAUUAAGUCAAAUGUGAAAUCCCCGAGCUUAACUUGGGAAUUGCAUUCGAUACUGGUUAGCUAGAGUGUGGGAGAGGAUGGUAGAAUUCCAGGUGUAGCGGUGAAAUGCGUAGAGAUCUGGAGGAAUACGCGAUGGCCAACGCGGCCAUCUGGCCUAGCUCUGAACGCUGAGGUGCGAAAGCAUGGGGAGCGAUCAGGACUAGAUGCCCUGGUACUCCAUGCCGUAUACGAUGUCUACUAUCCGCUUGUGGCCUUCUGA